rnacentral:rRNA from 1 species
UUCUUAUCUUGCGCAAUGGGCUAAAGCCUGACGCAGCGACGCCGCGUGAGGGAUUAAGUUUUGCGUCUCGUAAAACACUGUCAGCAGUGAAGAGACCGCACCGUGCUAAUCAUCGGUCCCUUGACGGCAGCUUCAAAAGAAGCCGCGGCUACCUCCGUGUCAGCAGCCGCGGUAAUACGGAGGGUGCAAGCGUUAAUCGGAAUUACUGGGCGUAAAGCGCACGUAGGCUGCUUUGUAAGUCAGGGGUGAAAUCCCACGGCUCAACCGUGGAACUGCCUUUGAUACUGCUUAGCUUGAAUCCGGGAGAGGGUGGCGGAAUUCCAGGUGUAGGAGUGAAAUCCGUAGAUAUCUGGAGGAACAGCAGUGGCGAAGGCGGCCACCUGGACCGGUAUUGACGCUGAGGUGCGAAAGCGUGGGGAGCAAACA